UCAUAUUUUGGUUAAGAAUUUAGGUCGACAUUACGUGUAAUACGCAGUAUGUAGAUCAAAAUUUAAUACGAGAGAAUUAUAUAUAUCUGACGCAUAGUUGAGAAAUUUGCAGAUGCAUAUCAAAUUCUAGAUUCUAGCAGAUAUUAUAGAGGAAGAAAAUACGCAUGAUUUUGCUACGAAAGCAAGUCAAUUGGGUUUCACAUAUUGGCGCGUGGCAUGAAUAUUUAACUUGUAUUCCUGGAAUCGAUUAAACGGAGCCGAUACCCAGGGAUUUCGUCAAUUAUAAUGACAGAUCAAGUGGCUGGAAAUACGCGUGAUGGAAAAUACUCGACAAGCCCAGCCAUGUUCACAGGCCGUGUCCAGAGUGCACAAUAGGCCGAAACGUCGUUCCAGUGAUUAACCGUGCACUAUGUCGCCAACGAAUUUGCGAAUCGAAUUUAUCGGAUUCGAAGAUACAACAAUGAAUCCUAUUUUACCACGACCACUAAUUCGAUCGAUUGCUUCAUCCUCGAUUGUUUGCCGAUCUUCGACCUAUCUGCGUAUACAAUGUAUACAAUCUACAUUAUAUUAUUACUCGUCGAUAUAGAGAGUACAGGAAAGCAUUGGCCUGAAUAGAGAUAAGUGCAGAUUUGAGGGUAAUCCAGGUGUAGAUUAAACUAAGCUUGAGCCGGUUUUAACUUGGAAGAUGGUGGAUAUGGAUUAACCUAGACCUAGGUUACCUUGGAGAUGAGUAAGCUAUGGUUUGAAUCUGUGUGCUGCCCUGAGUAAUCGUAGUUCUAUUGAAUUCUCUGUAAAUGUAGACCAUUGUAAAUACUAAGUUAAGCAUACGUUUGCAUUGAUUUGAACUGAAGAUAGAUAUUCUAAAAAGUUGAUUUAUUUACUAGGUUUCUGAUAAUUUAUUGUAAAGUAAAUUAAGCUAUUUUUAUUCAUAUAUGUUACAUAUCUCUUUACUUGAGGCUGUUUUAGUGUUAAUUUGAAAGUUGAGCACUAUUGUACUAUUUUAUAUCAAUUUAAAUCUUGUAAAAAGUUAAUCUAUUGUAAAUAUUCCUUAACAUAGGCUUAUAUGCUAAUUCUAAAUAUGAAUUUAGAAUUUACUGAAAUUUUAUUUUAUUAAAUUAAGUUAAUAUUAUUACAAUUCUGAAUUAAAGAUCCCUAAUUUCAAUCAAAAGUUUUAGUAAACCAGCUAUUAAUGUUAAGUCUAGGUUAGAAAAUAUUUAAAAUAUAUCUUUAUUGAUAUAAUAUUAAUAAUUCAGUGUAAAUCUUUUGAAAACUCAGAUUACUUAUUGGAUCUUUGAUAAUUCAUUCUAUAAUUAACUUAAAAUUACGAAUAACGUAAGGCUGUGCUAGGAUUAAUCUUGAUUACUAAAAUCAAGAUCUUCCAUGAAAUCGAUCCAAUCGCGAAUUCAUGGUACCAUUGAUAUUAUUAUAUAUCCUCGCCAAUGUAGAAUUUUACGCCAACAUAAACCUUUGUCAACGUUAACCUACUCCACUGCGAAGUUUCACGAAAGUUCCUACGUUAGCAUUGACCUACACCACACUGUACACACGUUCAUUAACGUUUUCCCCAAUCCAAUCUACGUCAACCUAAAUGUAAUUUGAAAUUAAUCCACGUUAAUCCAGUUCUAACGCAACAUAAAUUAGUAAGUAUUCAUGAAACCUCGAAACCUAACCUAUACUAUAAUCUGCUCGCUGUAAUGCACAUGUUUACGCAAAUUUCAAUGAUAUGAAAAAUUAUGUAAAAUUAAAAUCUGAACAUGGAACAAAUUACUCUUUCCAUUAUAUGGACAUUUUUCAUUUUUGAUAUCAGAUCAUAAAUUAUUUAUUUAAUCCUAUUUUGUUCCAUG